rnacentral:rRNA from 1 species
UACGUAGGGCGCAAGCGUUGUCCGGAAUUAUUGGGCGUAAAGAGCUCGUAGGCGGCUUGUCACGUCGAUUGUGAAAGCCCGAGGCUUAACCUCGGGUCUGCAGUCGAUACGGGCUAGCUAGAGUGUGGUAGGGGAGAUCGGAAUUCCUGGUGUAGCGGUGGAAUGCGCAGAUAUCAGGGGGAACACCGAUGGCGAAGGCAGAUCUCUGGGCCGUAACUGACGCUGAGGAGCGAAAGCAUGGGGAGCGAACAGG